rnacentral:lncRNA from 7 species
AUCUGUACCUCUGAAUUCUCUGGACCGGGGAAAGAAAAUGACAGUAGUGAGAGUGAGUAAUCUGACAAUGUUUGGAAUUAUUUCAACAAAGGGUAAGCUGUACCUGUGUAAUACUGGGUCCGUUAUUAAUUUUGUUAUUGAAGAAGUACUAGCUGAGUGUAUAUAUAUAUAUAUAUAUGCACUGCUCUGCAUACAUUUGAAAGUAUAACUGGUAUUCGAGGAAAAACUGCCAUUGCUUCACAUAUAUUUUGAAAACUGGACCUAGCAAUGUUUGUGUGCAGAAGACCUGAGAAAUAGAUUAAUGAUUUAUUACUAGAUUAUAUAUCUGAAUAACUGUUACUGUUGUAAAAAAAAAAAAAAAAAAAAAAUUGUAAUUGCAAAUUUUCAGUUGUUUAAAAUGUGUGCUGUUGUCAUUCUUCAUUCUCAGGGUGCAUCUUAUGAAGUGUCUGUGAAGGAAGAAGAUGGGUAAAUCUUACUUCUUCUGAAUGAUUAAUUAGGCCAGUCUUUUCAUAGUAUGUACUUUAGAUGAAGGGAAGCUACAGUUUAAACUAGCUCAUUACUUCUAAACCAGAAAUAAAAAUUGUAAUCAAUUAAAGAAGACUGAGAUAUAGGGAAGGGUUAAUAAAUCAUGUAUGUUUUGAAUUGGAUGGUAAGUGUCCAGGAUAGAAUAAAUGGUGCACUGUCACAGAGUAUAACAAGUCGCAAUAUUUUUCCUGAUCUUUUUUCUUGCUAAUGUUGAUGCUUAAGAAUGACUCUGUUUUGUAAUCUUCAUAAUACAUACACAUUUAUAUAUAACAUGUUUCUACAUGUUUAUAUUAUCAUUAUGCAUUUACCAAUCCUCUGCAGUAAAACAAACGACAGCAAGUAAUUAAUUUAAGGAGUGACUCAUAGUGAUUCUUCAGAGGGCAACAUUACCCCCUCCUGAUGAGUUUGCUACAUUGCAAGCAGACUGAUGUGAUAAAUUGGAGCUUUUAUUGAAUAUUAAUUAAAAGUCACAAAAGGGACAAAAUAACCUCUUUGGGAAGAAAAAAGCAAAAAAAGCCAAGCAAAAUAACAAAAUCCAACAUCAAACAGCCCCCCCAAACCUGAAAGAGCUGACUUGUGAAAAUAAAUGUUAUGGAAUAAAUGAUUCACAUGAUGUUCGUAAUUACAUACAGAUAUAAAGGGAAACAUUUAAGAGGCCUCUUCCAACUCAUGUUAUAAGCAGAGAAGAGCAUAAAGCAGCAUUAGAGUCAAAUUAGAGUUGCGUUUUUCCUGAAGCGUGUUGAGUUUUGGCAACUGCUGAGUCCCCCCUGCUAUUCAGGAAACACGUACAUAGGAAAAGGCCAUGAAGGAAUGUCCAGAUUUGAGGGCUCAGUGAGAAACAGCUUAAGUUCAGAUAUGUUCCUUCCAUUUUCUCAGCUGGGAAUUUGAUUCCUUUAGUUUCCUCAUGAUUGCAUGAAUUCUCCGUAGUAAGGCAGAAAUAUAUGGCCUGUAAUAUCCUCCAUUUAUUUGCACGUGGUGGUCAUCAUGUGCAUGGAAAUAGUUUUUCUUUAAACUGGUGUCUUUUUGGUGCUGAAUUUUGCCUGAUGUCUCAAGCAAUAGCACUAGAAAGGACUUGCACUGAAUGUCUUUUUUGUUCUCAUCUUGUGCUCUAGUAGCAAGAAUUUAGAUUUGCGCUUGGGGUUUGAUCUAUGUGCAGAGGAAAAAGAUUUCAUCUGUAAAAGGAAGAAGGUUGUUGCUGCUGCUCUAAAAAAUGUUCUUCAACUCGAUGAAGACCUGCAGGAGGAUGAGUGCCGGUGGUGGCAGUCAUGACCACAGCAGGGGGAGUGCGGUCCAUGACGUCAAUGUUUGGCAGUCUUCUAGCUCUACAAGAGUUAGGUGUUUUGGACUGCAUCUCAUACAUCAGUGGUCUAUCUGCCACAACAUGGACCAUGGCAAAAUUAUAUGAAGAUGCAAAUUGGUCACAGAAGGAUCUCAGAGGGCCAAUUGAUGAUAUUCGGAAAUAUGUGAUCAAGAGCAAAUUGCACUGUUUCUCUACAGAUCAUCUGAAAUACUAUGAGAAGGAGUUGUGUGAAAGAAAGCUAGAGGGGCACAAGCUCUCUUUCACAGAUUUAUGGGGACUCUUCAUUGACUCUAUGCUACAUAAUGAGGUAUUAUAUAUCCAUCCCUUUUUCCAGAGGAUUUCUAACUUUUCAUAUCUAAAAUUUUGGAACCGGUUAUGCCUGAAGAGGAAAGGGUCUCAAAAACUCUGAGGUCACAUUGUUUGGAUUUUUAGAAGAAAAACAUGGUCAGCCUAAAAUGUAAGCAUGUGGGGAAAAAGUCUGGCAUG